UACACGCUGUGACUAGCAUAUCAAUAAGCGGAGGAAAAGAAACUAACAAGGAUUCCCCUAGUAACGGCGAGUGAAGCGGGAAGAGCUCAAAUUUGAAAUCUUAAAGGGUUUCCCUUUACGAAUUGUAGUUUAAAGAAGUGUUUUCCGUUGAGGUUUUGGUAAAAGUUCUUUGGAAUAGGACAUCAUAGAGGGUGAGAAUCCCGUAUUUGACCUUUACUUUCAACUUUGUGAUACACUUUCAAAGAGUCGGAUUGUUUGGGAAUGCAGUCCAAAAUGGGUGGUAAAUUUCAUCUAAAGCUAAAUAUUGGCGAGAGACCGAUAGCGAACAAGUACCGUGAGGGAAAGAUGAAAAGAACUUUGAAAGAGAGUUAAACAGUACGUGAAAUUGUCAAAAGGGAAGCGUUUGACACCAGUGUUGUUUUUCUGAAAAUCAAUUAAAGAACUGUUUAUGCUAAGCUGUUUAGACUUUAUCAGCUAUCUGUUUAGUUUUGAGCUUUUCUUUAAUGCACUUUUCAGUUAACAAGUCAACAUCAAUUUCUUUUGCUGUAAAAAAGCUUGAGGAAGGUGGCUUGAGAUUCGUCUUAAGUGUUUAUAGCCUCUUGCCUAUGCAGUCGGAGAGAUUGAGGUCUGCAGCGUAGAUCCUUCGGGGCUAAAUGCAUUUGUGCUAAGCUAUAGCAUUUUAUAGACAACUUGUUGACUAUGAUUUGUCUUGUAGCUUACUCGCUUAUGUUAUUUUACCUACGCUUAGGAUGUUAAAGAUGUAGCACAUCAU
rnacentral:rRNA from 1 species